UUGCGGCCAUAUCUGUUUGAAAGACCGUUUCUCGUACGAUCACCGAAGUUAAGCGGUGUUGAGUAUAGUCAGUACUUAGAUGAGUGACCGCGUUAGCACAUCAGAUGCUGUAA